UAAUAGCGUAUACUUAAGUUGUUGCAGUUAAAAAGCUCGUAGUCGGAUGCCGGGCUUGGGCAGGCUGUCGGCUUUUGUCGGACGGCAGGCUCGGGCCUUUCUGCCUGGGGGCCGCGUCACACUUCACUGUGGGGCGUCGGGACGCAGGCCGUUUACUUUGAAAAAAUUAGAGUGUUCAAAGCAGGCCUACGCUUGAAUACAUUAGCAUGGAAUAAUGGAAUAGGACUUUGGUGCCAUUCUGUUGGUUUAUGGAACCGAAGUAAUGAUUAAUAGGGACAGUUGGGGCCGUUUAUAUUUCGUUGUCAGAGGUGAAAUUCUUGGAUUUACGAAAGAUAAACUUCUGCGAAAGCAUUCGGCAAGGAUGUUUUCAUUGA
rnacentral:rRNA from 1 species